ACUUGGGGGUACACAAGACAAAUCAGACUCCUGAAAGGGGUACAGUAGUCUGGAAAGGUUGAGAGCCACUCCUCUAGCUCUUGGUGGUAUGACCACCUGCACAAUGCUGUGGGGAAGAGUAACUUUGUACUGUUCCUUACUUCUAACAGAGGAAUAACAUUCCCACCCUCUGUCCAGAAAGCUAUUUGCAACAGUGUUCUGCUGAAAUAAGCCAGCAGUGACCCGCGUCAUCAGAACAGCCAGGCUGAGCAACAACUUUGAUGAAUGAACCAUCUAACUGAAAGAAGCCCCUUAUCUGGUCUAUGUUAUCCUCCCAUACAUUGGUUACCUGACUGUUUCCCCACAUACAUUUUAAUAUCUUUUAGUGCUGGUGAGAAGGGUUUGCCGGCCUAGGAAGCAGUUGUGCAAGACUCCCCCAACUCUAUUCAGUCAACACGUUUCACCUUGGGAGUAACCUGCCGCCUCCUGGAGGGCUCCAGGAAUGCACCAAGAAAAGUCAGAUGCAUCAUUGGCCGUGCUUGGAGCCUGUCUGAAACAAGGCUACACUUAGACUUCGCCACUACCAUGGGUAAGGAAAUACAGGGCAUGAUAUUGGAGGCAGCUGGCACCCUGCUAAUGCCCAAGGAGAAGCUUACGAGAUUUCUCACAGCUACAUCCCUUAAGAAGAGGUACUUGCCAAGAGGAACAGAUUCAGGGAUCAUCAUCUUUGGUGCCCCUAUACUAACUACAGGGGUGAAGGAGGAGCAUCUACCACCUUGACUCGUUCAUUGGGACCGAGCAGACUUCUAGAACAAGUUGCUGACAGCCACCAAACCCACUUCCACGUGUACAUGACCAUCUUUAGCUAAGUGAGGAGUUGAAUAGGAGUUCAAGACAGGGUGUAUUACUUGCACUGACAUGAUACAGUCCUGCUUUAAGAAUCCUGUAUUAGAGACUGCUGCCAUUGUCUUGAUUCUUAAUGUUACCCUCUCAUUGUACAAUUAAAUCAGAGUUGAAAACCAGGGGCUGUGUGAAAGUAUGGCUCUAAAGGGUUUCAUAGUGCUUAGUUCAGGGCAAGAUGACUAUACCUGUAAAACAAGGUUUUUAAGUCUAUUUACUUUCAGCCCUGCUGUAGGAAGUCUUUCACUCUUAGUAAUCUGUCUGUGUGUUCAUUUAUGGAAGACUUACUGUCUUCACGUAACCCUUAAGCAAAUGAAGUACAUAGCUGAGCAACUCACUUAACCAGCUGUGCAAAGUCUCCAAGGUCCUUGCAUAGCACUGUCAAUAUGCCGCACCC